GCAUCAUUCCCUCUCUCUUUGAAGGGAUUCGUCCUUGAAUAAGCCUCACUAUCAACUUCAUCACCUACAUCAAAUAAAGAAAGAUCAUCAAUAUUAAAAGAAGCACUCACAUUAUCAUACUCACUUGGCAAGUCUAGCUUGUAUGCAUUGUCAUUAAUUUUUUGAAGGACUUGGAAUGGCCCAUUCCUUAUGGCAUCAACUUAGACUUCCUUUGGCUUGGAAAUUUUUCCUUCCUCAAAUGCACCCAAACCCAAUUACUGAGUUCAAAUACUUUCUACCCUUAUUGUGUUGGCUUUCAUAUUGUUGAGUUAUUUUCUCUAUUUGAGUAUGCAUCCUCUCAUGUAAGCUUUUAACAAAUUCAGGCUUUUGCUUGUCUUCGUAAUUAGCCUUUUUAAUGGUCAAUGGUAAUAAAUCCAUAGGAGUUAAUGGAUUUUACCCAUAUACAACCUCAAAAGGUGAACAAUUUGUUGUAGUAUGAAUACUCUUAUUGUAUGCAAACUCAACAUAUGGCAAACAUUCUUCCUAAUUGUUCAAAUUUUUUUGAAUGAUUGCCCUUAAUAGAUGUGAAAAAAUCCUAUUAACUACCUCUGUUUGUCCAUCCGUUUAUAGGAAAGCCCUCAUUCCUAUUAAUUAUAGUUGUAAUAUUCCUCUAUUUAUUUCAUGUAAUUAUUCCUAUAUAGUUGACUUACCUUUCUUGUAAUUAUUUCUAUAUAGUUGACUACCUUAAAUAGGUCUAGGUAUCUUGUAUAAAUACCUUGAGAUAGAUGGAAUAAACAUAACAGUGUUUUUCAGUCAAUUAUUAUUUAUUUCAACUCUAAUAGACCAUGAUUCUCUGAAUAUCAGAUUUUUGAACCCUCUAGUAAUCCAUCAAGAAUCUCUUGGACAUCAAGAGGUCCCUACUUUCCCUAUCCAAUUAGCAUCAAAAUAAUAUAAGCAUAAACAAUCACAUCAAUAUUGAUAAACAGCAAGCAACAAUAGUCGAGGUAACAAAGCACUUCUAGACUAAUAUUAUUCCUCAAGCUUGCACCCUCAACACAGAUGGUCUGAUGAUUGCCCCAUCGUCUAGGAGGUUCAACUCAAUCCCGCUAAGCAAUUAAAAUCAAAUUUUCACACAAUGCAUGCACACAUAUCAUAUUGAUCACUUAGUAACAUCAAUCUCAUUCGCAUUUAAAGGCAUGCUUAAUGCAAAUGGGAGGGGAUAACGCAUAUACAUACAUAUGUAUAUAGUAUACUACUCACAGUAUGAUGCUCCAUAAAUAAGCUCCAUGCACCAUGCUUAGUGACUUCAGGUUAUCUAAUCAUAAAUAGACAAAUUAGGGUUAUCUAUUGCCCAUCCCCAUACAAUAAACACAAUAAUCUUCAUCAUACUAUAUCGCAACCAAUUCAAUUCAAUCAUCAAACUAGAAAUCAAUUCAAAGAAAAAAGGAAGAUCCCUAAUUCUAGUUUACAAAAAUCUAUUGGGUAGUCCUUAGAAAAAAUAGCCAUAAGUCAACCAUUGGAUCAAAGUGCCAUUUUAACUGUAUAUGCUUAAUUUAUUUAAAACUCUAAAAUAAAACGUAUGAACUACUACAAUUAAAUUCCAAUUAUUUAAUCAUUUUCUCAUAAAAAAAUGUUUAAAAAAACAACUGUCAUCAAAGUAGUCCUAACAUAUCAACACGAAUUCAUUAAACGAUAAAAUUUAGAUUACUCUAAAUUUUUCCUAUAAGUACCCAUAGACCCAUCAGACCAGCAUUGAUCUUGAGGUCCAGGACAUCUAGGUGUUACAAUCUUCCACCCUUAUAAAAGUCCAUCCUCAGAAUUUCUAAAAUAAAGUAGCACUUUCUAGGUUCUAACUAAGCACGAACGAGCUACACAUAAAGAGUAAGCUCAAGAGCAAGUUAUCAUAGUCUUACGGUACUGAAUUUAGUGCAUUUUUCAUUAAAAUACAUGUUUUAAAAGAUAAAUUUUUUUCACAACAAAUCCGCCCAGUUCUCCUAAAUCUGAAACUUGCUACCUACCUGAUGCUGGAGAAGGAAAAUAUCAAGAAAAGGGGAAAUCAUACCUCUCAAUCAGAUGGCUAGACCUAUUCAAAUUUAGCCGCAAGUGGUCUGAAUGAAUCAUACUCAGCACUCUAGCUUUCUUUUCCUUCUCACAUAUGGAAUAGAAUCAUGCAACUAAGUGAAAAUUGAUAAACCAGUCAUAAAAGUUUUAGUGUGUCUCAUAGUUAUCAAUAUUUACAACCUCAUCUACUCGUCUACUCAUUCAAAAUUUCCAUCUGAAUCAGAGUAAAAAAGGAGAAAUCAUCAUAGCCAUGACAAGAAGGCAUUAAAAAAUAUGAUUCCUAAACUGCAUCAUUGCGUAGCGAUAAUAUUUAACAACGCUGGCAAGUGUCAACUCUUUAUAUAGAAAUUCAUUGCUUACUUCCAUAUGUUCCUCGAGUAAAACAGAGAGAAGGAAAGUAAUAUCUAAGUAGAAUGAAAAGAAUGAAAGCCCAAAGGUUCAAUCCUCUGAGUAAAGAAUUACUCAUGCUUACUUGUUGUAAAAUGUCAAAGUUAUUAAAAAAGACCUUGACAUAAACAAUAUGAUAAACAUAAAACAUGUUGUUUUUCAAUCAAUUAUGGACCAAGAUAACAAUAGAAACUUCUAUUAGUCACCUCACAGACGUAUCUUUCUACGAAAUAAAGCACAAUAAAAAGCCAAAUAUUUUGUUGUACUAGAUUUAUGUAUAUUCCGUGAAACGUGUAAUAUGAUCUACAUUGUAAAUUUGACAAGAAGAUUAAUUUACUAGUAUUUGUAUUGCUUCUAUAAUUUAACUAAAUCUCCCAAAGGACAUAUAGAUAACCGAGAAGCAAUCAAUGAUAUGGAAGAAAAGAACAAUUUGGCAAAAAAGCAUUAAUGCAAGUUUCAUGUUUGAAUCUUACUGGCAUACAUGGAAAAAUUACGAGGGGCAGUAGCCUUGCAACCUGUGAAAAUUAAGCUACUCCCUCCUAGUUUGUAUCGCAGAGCAUUUCAGACGAAAGUUCAAGAUAUAAUACAAGUAGAAUCAUGAAAGUAUUGAUAUCAAGAAUCAAAUUAGUCAUUGUUUUAAGCAACAACUAUUAAAAACAAAGAGAUCUGGCUGUUGCUUAAUAUAAUUAUUAUAUCAACAUAUUUAGUUACAUUACGUACAAUUUCCAUCCAACAUCCAAAUUCCAGUAAAAUCUCAUCCUAACAAAUCUAUUAGCAUAAAAAUGCACAAGUCUCAUGCGUUGGCAAGAAAAUAUAUGGUUCCUAUUUUUUUGUAUUGUUAUAAACAUUAAAUUCAAGCAGUUGCAAUUUAUAAUUGGUACCAUACUAAUAUCAUUUCAGAAAUUCAAACAUGUGCAAAUUUAGUAUCAGAACUUUAAUUAGAGAGACAAAAAAGAAAUAAUAUUAAAAUCACAUAUUGUCUUUAUAGAAACAAAACGUGCAGAAGAUACAAUUUACUAACUUUUACAUUUCAAUCAUCACAAAUUUUAUUUAUUUAAUGACAAAAGCAGGCAACAAGCAGUUGAUAUAACAUUUCGACAACUUAUGAGGAAAACGAAACUAUAAUACUGAUCAUUUUAAAAAUAUAUACGCUCGCAUAUAUUCAAACAUAAUGGCAAAUAAAAAUCAGUUAAAAAAUAAAUAAACAAGUAAAAGUCCGACCUAAAACCUCGUCUUCCAUUUCUAAUAUUUGAUUAAAUAAAUGUGACGCUUCCUCUAGAAAAGAAAUUGGAAAUCUGAAAUAUUAAAAUAAAAAUUUAAAGAGAAUCAAACAAAUUUUAAUGCAAUUGAAUUGACAGACUAAUAAUAAAAAGAUAAUUUUCGAUAUCACCAUAGGUAUGUGUUGUGUGAUUAAAUAGCACUUCAUUUUUAUGUUGAGAUUGCCGCAUAGUUUUGUCUAUGGAAAUAAAUAUAUUUAGUUUGAAAAUAAAGAAAGAAAAUUAAAUAUUAAAAUUUAAAUUAUGAUUCGUAGUAUCGAGGAAAAUGGUACCAUGAGAAGGAAUUAUUGAUGUAAGAAAGCGGAUAGAGUCGUCAUUACUAAAUUAGAAACGACGUCGUUGGAAUGCAUUAACAUCAACAUCCUAUUUGACUCUUCCAGCUUCAUCAGCUUAUCAUAUCGUCUUUUGAACAAUUCUUUUUUCAAUUUAUUUUUUCACAAAAUUGAUGCAACAAGUAGUACUGUUUAAGAAAGGGAGAACCUUUUUUCUUAGCAUAAAACCCCAACCAAACAGGGUAGUCUCCUGUUUUCUUGUCAAGAAUAAUACAUGAAAAACUCUAGCAAUUGGAAAAAUAAAACAAAAGAUAAAAUAUCUUUUUAUCUUGCCAACAGAGAGUCAAAAUUAUAGAACAACAAAAACUAUCAAAACUUCAAUAAAAUAACAAAAUAACUAAAACCCAUUAAAGAAAAAGCACUAAAAACUAUCACACGACAUGCUACUUUUUGGGAUGUUGUUUUCUCUUCUCUUGUUUCUAGUACUGCUACGUAUGCAAUAGGUUUGUGUUAAAUAUGUAGAGAGAAAAUGUUAAAAAUAUAUGUUACCUUGAACAGUUCUCCUUAAUUUCCCAUAAAUAUAUGUUACCUUGAACAGUUCUCCUUAAUUUCCCAUUUCUGAAAUAAAUUCUUAUUUUCUUCUUCUCCUCAUACCAAUCAUUAUUUAGCAGCUAUGUUAUGACUUUCACUAAUAAAGAAUGAAGAUUAGCAUCCCUACAUGCUUAGUGAAAAUACAAAAUAUAGUAAUCCAGUAAAAGUAUAAUUCCUACUCCUAUAAAAUAUUUUCAUACUGACCAAAUGAAUUUUUACCCAAGUGUACAUAGUAGUACUAAUGAAGAGUCCAAUCAGAUCUAGUUCCUUUUGCUGGCCAUCCCGAUUUUGUAUGUCUUCUAGCUGCGGUGAUUCCAAAUUUUGGGUGUUUGCAUCUUGUUGAACCUCCUGUUG
rnacentral:lncRNA from 1 species